UGGGGAAUUUUGGACAAUGGGGGAAACCCUGAUCCAGCCAUCCCGCGUGUGCGAUGAAGGCCUUCGGGUUGUAAAGCACUUUUGGCAGGAAAGAAACGUCGCGGGUUAAUACCCCGCGAAACUGACGGUACCUGCAGAAUAAGCACCGGCUAACUACGUGCCAGCAGCCGCGGUAAUACGUAGGGUGCAAGCGUUAAUCGGAAUUACUGGGCGUAAAGCGUGCGCAGGCGGUUCGGAAAGAAAGAUGUGAAAUCCCAGAGCUUAACUUUGGAACUGCAUUUUUAACUACCGGGCUAGAGUGUGUCAGAGGGAGGUGGAAUUCCGCGUGUAGCAGUGAAAUGCGUAGAUAUGCGGAGGACACCGAUGGCGAAGGCAGCCUCCUGGGAUAACACUGACGCUCAUGCACGAAAGCGUGGGGAGCAAACAGGAUUAGAUACCCUGGUAGUCCACGCCCUAAACGAUGUCAACUAGCUGUUGGGGCCUUCGGGCCUUGGUAGCGCAGCUAACGCGUGAAGUUGACCGCCUGGGGAGUACGGUCGCAAGAUU
rnacentral:rRNA from 1 species